rnacentral:rRNA from 1 species
CGGACGGGUGAGUAACGCGUGAGAAUCUGCCUUCAGGAUGGGGACAACAAUUGGAAACGAUUGCUAAUACCCGAUAUGACGAAAGUUGAAAGAUUUAUCGCCUGGAGAUGAGCUCGCGUCAGAUUAGCUAGAUGGUGUGGUAAAGGCGCACCAUGGCGACGAUCUGUAGCUGGUCUGAGAGGAUGAGCAGCCACACUGGGACUGAGACACGGCCCAGACUCCUACGGGAGGCAGCAGUGGGGAAUUUUCCGCAAUGGGCGAAAGCCUGACGGAGCAAUACCGCGUGAGGGAGGAAGGCUCUUGGGUCGUAAACCUCUUUUCUCAGGGAAGAACAAAAUGACGGUACCUGAGGAAUAAGCAUCGGCUAACUCUGUGCCAGCAGCCGCGGUAAUACAGAGGAUGCAAGCGUUAUCCGGAAUGAUUGGGCGUAAAGCGUCCGUAGGUGGUUUUGCAAGUCUGUGGUUGAAGCGUGGAGCUUAACUCCAUAAAGGCCAUGGAAACUGACAGACUAGAGUCAAGUAGGGGUAGAGGGAAUUCCCAGUGUAGCGGUGAAAUGCGUAGAGAUUGGGAAGAACACCGGUGGCGAAAGCGCUCUACUGGACUUGUACUGACACUGAGGGACGAAAGCUAGGGGAGCGAAUGGGAUUAGAUACCCC